rnacentral:rRNA from 1 species
GACGAACGCUGGCGGCGUGCUUAAUACAUGCAAGUAGAACGCUGAAGGAGGAGCUUGCUUCUCUGGAUGAGUUGCGAACGGGUGAGUAACGCGUAGGUAACCUGCCUGGUAGCGGGGGAUAACUAUUGGAAACGAUAGCUAAUACCGCAUAAGAGUAGAUGUUGCAUGACAUUUGCUUAAAAGGUGCAAUUGCAUCACUACCAGAUGGACCUGCGUUGUAUUAGCUAGUUGGUGGGGUAACGGCUUACCAAGGCGACGAUACAUAGCCGACCUGAGAGGGUGAUCGGCCACACUGGGACUGAGACACGGCCCAGACUCCUACGGGAGGCAGCAGUAGGGAAUCUUCGGCAAUGGACGGAAGUCUGACCGAGCAACGCCGCGUGAGUGAAGAAGGUUUUCGGAUCGUAAAGCUCUGUUGUAAGAGAAGAACGAGUGUGAGAGUGGAAAGUUCACACUGUGACGGUAUCUUACCAGAAAGGGACGGCUAACUACGUG